rnacentral:lncRNA from 1 species
CUACCGCUGUUACUGCUUGGAGUGCCUCACCGAGCCAGGAUGAAGCCCCACCCGCCCUUCAGGAUGCCAGCCUUGGCAACAUCGUGAGACCCUGUUUCUACAAAAACUAAACAAGUGUAGUGGUGCACGCCUGUAUUCCCAGCUACUUGGGAGGCUGAGAUGGGAAGAUCACUUGAGCCUGGGAGGUUGAGGCUGCAUUGAGCUGAGAUCAAGCCACGGCACUCCAGCCUGGGAGACAGAGCGAAACCCCAUCUCAAAAAAACAAAGAAAGUGGAUGCGUGCUGCUCCUGCCAUUGGAUCAUCGCAGCAUUUUUCUUUUCUCUGAUAUGCGCCUUUUUCCUCAUCGUGGGGGCUCAUGUUUUCGUAAUUCCCUCUCGCUACUAGAUUGUGAGCUGUGUGAAGGAAGGUUCAUAGUUGAGUUGUAUGUACAGGCACACAAAAUUUGUCCUUGGAUAGACACAUAUCAAUCCACUUCCUUCUCCUCUCUGAAUUUCUUUAUUUAAAAAAAAAAGUAGAGAUGGAGUCUCACUGUC